GACGAACGCUGGCGGCGUGCUUAACACAUGCAAGUCGAACGGAAAGGCCCUGCUUUUGUGGGGUGCUCGAGUGGCGAACGGGUGAGUAACACGUGAGUAACCUGCCCUUGACUUUGGGAUAACUUCAGGAAACUGGGGCUAAUACCGGAUAGGAGCUCCUGCUGCAUGGUGGGGGUUGGAAAGUUUCGGCGGUUGGGGAUGGACUCGCGGCUUAUCAGCUUGUUGGUGGGGUAGUGGCUUACCAAGGCUUUGACGGGUAGCCGGCCUGAGAGGGUGACCGGCCACAUUGGGACUGAGAUACGGCCCAGACUCCUACGGGAGGCAGCAGUGAGGAAUAUUGCACAAUGGGCGGAAGCCUGAUGCAGCAACGCCGCGUGCGGGAUGACGGCCUUCGGGUUGUAAACCGCUUUCGCCUGUGACGAAGCGUGAGUGACGGUAAUAGGUAAAGAAGCACCGGCUAACUACGUG
rnacentral:rRNA from 1 species